ACAUUGGCUUUGCCGGUGCUUAGAUUUCUGUGUUAGCGGUCGGUUCUCGGGCGUUGUUUUUGAUCUAUCGACACAUUGAACAGAUACCUUUUUCUCCCCAUUCAUCCUCUCCUCGCUUCUGGGCCUCUCUGGAAAACCCGUGCUUCUCCCAUUGCUUUUCUCCACCGUAAUCAUUGUAGCAAGAGAGAGAGAAUAAUCUCUAUCCACAUCACCGAUGGCAGAGAUUUUGUGGUGGCCAGCAGAAGAAAGGAGAUGAUGACCGGCGACAUGUGGAGUGGCUGCCGGCGGAAAUAGAAGAAUCCGUUGGUGAUCAGCGGCGGGAGGCUAUGCAGCCGCCAAGAUCUAGAGCACAAAUCCAGCAGGCGUCGAGAUGCGCUGCAAGUGGCCGACGAUGUAUGGCACGGGCCGGUGGUACGCGGCAGCAGCAUGGGCGGCAAUGUAGAGGUGGCGGGGAACGACGGCCAUGGUCGAGGUCGGCUAGGGCCUGGACGGUACAAGAUGCUCGCGAGGUUCUACCGGUAUGGUCACAGAAGUCUGUGUCGAGUUGUGGCCGCUGCGGAAGCAGAGGGGAAUACUACUAGAAUCGGUGGAGGGCAGCAGGGGAGGGGCGUCGUGGGCGAGGAGGUGGCAGGUUCAGGUGGAGCGACACCGUAGCGAUUGAAGACUCGGGGAGUGACAUGGAGCGGCGAUCAUCGGAGUGGGCGGCACAGAUUCUUCUUCGCCCAUGCUCUCCUCUGCCACGGGCUCCUAGGGGUCGAGCUCUUCGGCGGCCGGUGGCCGUGGCGUGGGUCAGGAUGUUGAGCCAGCGACAUCAACACCUUAAAUACAUAGAGGAGAAGGAGGAGGAGGUAGCUAGCUGUAGCUCGCCGGCACAAGAGGAUGCCGCGGCGUCGCGCUGGUGCAAGGGAACGAGGCGGGGCCGCGUGGCCGCGUGGGUGACUGUUACGCUCGGAUCCUUGAUGGCGUGUGAUUGACAACUCAGAUCGGUCAGGUUAUAUCGUUGAGCACCUAGGUACUAGGCUGAGAACAAUGAUCCAGGGCGAAUAGGAGCUGCUUCUAGCUAGCACUCACUUGGUUAAAUUGGGAAAUAUUUAAACUACUCUAGGGCGUGUUUGGAAGUCCUCCAGCUUCCGGCUUCCUGAAACUCCAGGGUGUAACACUGCCAAAAAGUCUAGCUUCACGGAUCAUAUAGGAAGCUAACCCAAUUUAAUGUACAAAUAUACAUUUAUAAGUGGAUCUGAUUAAAGGGGCAUUGGCACCAUUCCCAUCUCCAUGGAAGAGCAAUGAUGUGCAUCAACUGGUUAUAGAGAGAUCUGAGGUUGUGACUUCCUUACUCUAGCAUCCAAAGAGUAUCAAGUUGUUUAUGAUUUUCCUAUUGCCAUUUUUUACUUCUGCCAACUGUUGUAUUUCUGGAGAAGAAAAUGCAUUUGGGUCUGCGUGUGCUGAUGUGCAGGUUGAUUCGAACAAGGUACACGAGUUUGUGAAAGUUUUAUCAUGUAUGCAUGAUGAUUUUGAUCCAAGGCCUCAAUUUUGUACCAACAUAAUCUUGAAAAAUAAAUUAAAGGUGAAUUCUCUGUUUUAGGUCGGAUCUUAUACUAACUGUGGCAAUUCCUCGCAAUUGUCAGAUUAUGGUCUUGCCGUAUCUGCUAAUUAAGGGAUAUCCAUGUUAUUACAUAUAGAGAAAAAUGUUGCUACAUAUAGUGUCGUUAUCUUAAUUUUUAGCAAGCUAACUCCAAGGACACCUGAAUCAACGAGGUGAGAUAUUCUCAUAUGUGUCCUAAAUUUCUACAUCUUAAGGGAUAUCCAUGUUCUUACAUAUAGAGAAAAAUGUUGCUACAUAUAGUGUCGUUAUCUUAAUUUUUUAGCAAGCUAACUCCGAGGACACCUGAAUAAACGAGGUGAGAUAUUCUCAUAUGUGUCCUAAAUUUCUACAUCAAUCCUUUUUUUUCUUUCGCCUGCCUUGCUAUCUCCAUUUAUUUAUCUCCGCAUUUUUUACAAAAAAAAAAUCAAAUCUCAUUGCAUUUUAUAUUAUCAGAUCUUUGAACUUUAGUGUGUUGCCGACGGUUUUAACAGCCGCGAUGGAUUUCUAGAGCUAUGCAGCCUGUAUGUUGGAUUUGUUGUUCUAAUUUUACUUGUGCAGUCAAAUUUAUGUACUGGACAACCAUCCAGCCAAUAACACGCAUGUCACUUGUAUGAAAAUCUGAGUAAAGCGUAUUCUUUCACUUUAUCUAAAAUAAUCUCCCAAUUGUGCUGAAAAGAAAAUGUUGUUAUUAUAGUAUUGUUCCUAAAUUAGUCCCACCUUGCUCUACAAGUUAGCAAGCAACCAAAGGAAGAAGUGUACGUGUACAGAGAAUGAUAUUGUGCUUCCACAAUAUUUGGUGUUCUUGGUAGUGCGAUGGAUUAUACUACACUACACAUGCUAUAUUGAAGCUCCGAUUUUUAUGGUUGGAUCUUAUAUAUCAUGAAUAUUUUUUCAGUGACAAUGCAAGAAGAUUAGUGUUGGAAAAAAGUUCAUCCCCAUGAUGAUGCUUAUAGGUGCCCUAAGAGUUAUAUGUGUAAGGUAAUCUUAUUUCAUAAACUAUUAUUUUCCAUGAUUUUACUCGAUUGAUUUUUGUAUUUAUGAAAGAUCGAUGGUGCUUGGUCUGCCGUUAGGUUUGUUUUUGGCAUAACAUCUGUUGAAAGUGUUAGCUGCUACUAUUUUUUUUGAACAGUCUGUUGUCGUAUUUAGAUUCACCUAAGGUUGGUAAUUCAGCAUUCCCUCUCCUUGCUACAGUACUGUUAAUGUGAAAGGAUGAAGUUUGAUUACUUCCUAACUUUGUCGGUAAAAACUUCUUUUCCUCGCAGUCAACCAGUGUGUAUCCUAAUAUGCCAAUUGGUAAAAUGUAGUACUAUUAUGUUUUCCCUAUCUGAGCUUAAUUUCCCAUGUUUUCCAUAAACCUAAAAGUAGGCCUCUGUUUUCGGUGAACAAUAAACAUGUUCACUUUUAAAGCACUGAAUUUCUGUAAAAAAGAAAGGAUAACCUAGAAUAACAAACGAGUGAAGUGGAGGAGCCGCAAAAGAGGUAUUUUUAUGGCCCAAAGAAAAUAGAUUUGCAGUGUUACAGCAAAGAAGUGUUUCUAGAUAGUUUCAUAACCCAGAGUAGCAGAUUAGCUUCAUGAAACACAAUAGCAACUAAACAAAAUAUAUAUACAUUGUCGAGUUUCAUAUAUUUUAAUCUUACAACUUGGCAAAUGAAACAAGUACCUUCAUUUCGACGGGAUGCCUAAUGGUAUGAUAUACUGAUAUGCUACAGGCUCAAACUGCAACAGGUUUGCCUGAAACUGCUACACCGCUAUUCGGAAAAUGAGUUGCUAUAGGAAAUCUGUGUGUUGCGAGAUAACACUGAACUGAAGACUAUCUCCGCAAGGGUGUGCUCUUUUGGUGGAAGAGGUUCGCCUGAAACUGCCACACUGUUGUUCGGUACAUUAGAUGCUACAAGAAACUGCAAGUUACUAUAUGAUAGUGAACUGAAGACUAUCUCCUCUGGAACUGGUGGUAUGAGCCAAAUAGGGUGAAUCACGGGGAGCACUAUCAAACAAUUAAUGAGUAAUAGGCAGUAUGAUGACUGGAAGCUUGAUCUUUACAAGAUAGCCGAACCUGAACCGUUAUCAAACAGAGCAUGGGAGGCUCCAGUAGCAUUUUUUGUAAAGAUAAAUUGUGACGCACCCUUUAGUGAGGCAACAAGAAGUCAGAAAGAAUGACACUUCUUAACGUUGUCAAGAUAGCUAAAAUUUGAAUUAGUCGAGACCCACAUAAUUCUAGAUGGCCAAAAACAGUAACCACCGUAUUUUGUCAUAGUAGAAGCCCACAGAUAUUUACUAUCACAUCCGUUUUAAUUAGUCCAAUUUAUUAUACAUAUUAUAGUUCAAGUAGUAUGUCCCUGUUUUCCCACCUAAUUUGCCGUCAAACAGCCACUAUACUGCGCGGCGUGCCGUCGCGCCGAUC